UUGAAGACGUUGGCUGAAUGUAGUUGUUCACCGUCUCCCUUUCCAAAAUGAAAUACGCGACGAAUUGCUGCAGUGGUGAAAAUUACACACUGCUUUACGCUUGUAGAUACUUACAAGUCCUCCUCCUGUGGUGCUGAGGAAAAUUCAGCACUGUCACUCAAAUUAUUUUGAGUAUUGGUACUUAACUUGCACUUUAAACUUUUCUUUUCCAAGGAAAGGAUCAUCACUUUUAAUCAAUGAAUCCUUCCAGGAUUGCAUUUAGUGUGUUCAUACUUUGUUUUCAUCAGUAUGGUUUCAGCGACAAAGUUUUGGGGUUCAGCUUAACAGAUCUUGCAUUUGAGUUCCUACCUGGUUUGGACUUACACUUGGUUUUCAAUGAGAAUAAGGAAAACCUGGUUACCUUAUCUGGCUCAUACUACACAUCCUUGUUCCAUAAUCAAACUGGACAACUUGAAAUUACAACUUCUACUGUUCAGCCGACAACUCGAAAAAGAAACACGAUGCAGUCGAGUUCAAUUGCAGCUUUGAAAAACAUUUUGCCAUCAACCAAGCCAGAUUUGUUAACGUCUGGUCAGAAUCUCAUUCCCCUCAAAAGUUUUCUAAAAGUUGAGUCAGUUGCAGAAACAAUCAAGGUUUUGAUACAGAUAAGUUCAUCGGAGUUGAUAAGAAAUAGCUCAAUUUUUCCCCAUCUCGUCGUAGUUUGGCCGGAACGAGUUUUAAACGAAGACGCAGCCUUUACGCUCAUGCACAGCAACCAAGUUCAAGACGCUUGUCAAGGAUUCAGCAUAGCUUCCGAACUAAUAUUUGUGCUUCAAACAGCCACAUUGGCAAAGCCCAUGACGAUGAAUUCAUUGAACGAGGACUUUUAUUUCUACGAAGUCUUCAACAUAAACUCGAGGCAUAUCGUACUCAAAGCGAGUGAAGGCGUAGUGGAUUUUCACUGUCAGUUUUGUCGGGGUGUUGCAAUUCGGCGUCACAACUUUCACGGAUUGCAACUCAAUGUUUCUGCAAUGCAAGAUCCAGAAAUCAAUGACGAUUUAAACUUUGAAACAACGGCUGCAGGAGAUUUGAUAUUUUCUAACGCUGGAUUUUCUGCACGAAUUCUUCAUAUUUUGCAAACCUCUUUAAAUUUUACGGUGAAGGCAAUAAGAGCCUCGGAUUGGGGAAAAUUCGUGGCAGAGAAUAAGUCAUGGGUCGGGAGCGUCAAAGACGUCAGAGAUGGGCAGGCACAACUGGGUCUGGCACUGACGACGAUGCGACCAGCACGUGCACAAAUGGUUUCUUUCUUACCUGCGGCGGAUGAGGGUGUAAUAAGUGCAUUCUUCCGCAACCCGGACCUUAAUGCAGUCCGCGAUAUCUUUGCUAGACCAUUUCAUCCAGAUUUAUGGGCAGCCGUGUUUUCGACUUGGAUCGUCUUAGCAUUUUUCAUGAUUCUUUUCUCUGUUAUUCGAAAACGGUACGAUCUACACUUGGAGAGUGGACAACCUGAGCCAGAUUUUACCAACGACUCAUUUAUCUGGGCACUGGCUACUGCUUGUCAGCAAGGUUGGGAUGACCACCCCGUGGCUGGUUCGUUGAGAACGAUCUUCAUUUCUGGAUCCUUUACAGGAGUUGUGGCGUAUGCUGGUUAUUCCGCUGCCAUCGUAAGUACACUUUCACUUCGUGUUGACCCGAUCCAAAAUCCGGAACAGUUGCUGAAAAGCUCCCUAAAAAUUGGAAUUCGCCAAGGAUUUAUUAAUGAAAUAUUGCAACAAAAUAAUACAAACGAUAUCAUGACCUCAUAUCAACAAAAGCUAAAGGCCAGCUCGGAGACGGAACGUUUCUUUAACAUCACAACAGGAUACAAGCAUCUUUUGAAACACCGCUACGCCUUCAUCAGCACUCGAGACAACAUGUACGACAACUUGAAAGGUUACAAGAUUAUUUGACACUUUAUCACUUUAUAAGGUGAGUUUGCACAUGACAAGACGGUGAUAGUUCUGAUGUGUCGUUUACACACAUGACAUGGUAUAUGUCGAGGGUAACAAACAAUUUGAUUCUAUAUAUUUUAACAUAUUAACAGAUCAAAUUCAUAUUCAUUAUCAGACUCCAUUUCACGCUUCCCCCUUUUAGCACUGUCCCCGUCCACGUGACCCUCAAUGUCAGAAUUAUACAGUAAUUAAAAACAAAAUAAAUUUAGUUAGCCUUGCAUGAAAGUGCAGAAACCUACCUAAGAAUUCAUCGUACAAAAAAUUGUAACAGAAUAACAAAUAUUGUUCAAAAUAAUCAGGAGAAAAAAACUCUGGUCAACUCCUAAAAGUCAUUUGAAUCUUUUCUUGAACGCCAAGGGUUGGAGCUGUUAGGGAGAGAAAGGAAUGCUAUUGAUCACUCACAACCAACGAUUCCGAAAUUUGCCUAUUGAAAGAGUUACAAAUCCUACAACAUGGAUUUCCGGCUGGCCACUUUGUAUCAAGAAAUUCGCCACUGAAAGAGUUUUUGCGAUAUAUUUAUGUGACAAUUCGUGA